ACUAAGCGUACACGGUGGAUGCCCUGGCAGUCAGAGGCGAUGAAGGGCGUGCUAAUCUGCGAUAAGCGCCGGUAAGGUGAUAUGAACCGUUAUAACCGGCGAUACCCGAAUGGGGAAACCCAGUGUGAUUCGUCACACUAUCAUUAACUGAAUCCAUAGGUUAAUGAGGCGAACCGGGGGAACUGAAACAUCUAAGUACCCCGAGGAAAAGAAAUCAACCGAGAUUCCCCCAGUAGCGGCGAGCGAACGGGGAGGAGCCCAGAGCCUGAAUCAGCAUGUGUGUUAGUGGAAGCGUCUGGAAAGGCGCGCGAUACAGGGUGACAGCCCCGUACACAAAAGCGCAUGUGCUGUGAGCUCGAUGAGUAGGGCGGGACACGUGGUAUCCUGUCUGAAUAUGGGGGGACCAUCCUCCAAGGCUAAAUACUCCUGACUGACCGAUAGUGAACCAGUACCGUGAGGGAAAGGCGAAAAGAACCCCGGCGAGGGGAGUGAAAAAGAACCUGAAACCGUGUACGUACAAGCAGUGGGAGCACAGGUUUACCUGUGUGACUGCGUACCUUUUGUAUAAUGGGUCAGCGACUUAUAUUCUGUAGCAAGGUUAACCGAAUAGGGGAGCCGGAGGGAAACCGAGUCUUAAUUGGGCGUUAAGUUGCAGGGUAUAGACCCGAAACCCGGUGAUCUAGCCAUGGGCAGGUUGAAGGUUGGGUAACACUAACUGGAGGACCGAACCGACUAAUGUUGAAAAAUUAGCGGAUGACCUGUGGCUGGGGGUGAAAGGCCAAUCAAACCGGGAGAUAGCUGGUUCUCCCCGAAAGCUAUUUAGGUAGCGCCUCGUGAAUUCAUCUCCGGGGGUAGAGCACUGUUUCGGCUAGGGGGCCAUCCCGGCUUACCAACCCGAUGCAAACUGCGAAUACCGGAGAAUGUUAUCACGGGAGACACACGGCGGGUGCUAACGUCCGUCGUGAAGAGGGAAACAACCCAGACCGCCAGCUAAGGUCCCAAAGUCAUGGUUAAGUGGGAAACGAUGUGGGAAGGCCCAGACAGCCAGGAUGUUGGCUUAGAAGCAGCCAUCAUUUAAAGAAAGCGUAAUAGCUCACUGGUCGAGUCGGCCUGCGCGGAAGAUGUAACGGGGCUAAACCAUGCACCGAAGCUGCGGCAGCGAACGUAUCACUUAAAGCGAUUCAGCGGGUUACGAUUGACGGAGCGAAGCGACGUCAAAGCGUAUACAAAGUCGAGUCGGUUUAAGGAUACGUUCGUUGGGUAGGGGAGCGUUCUGUAAGCCUGUGAAGGUGGCCUGUGAGGGUUGCUGGAGGUAUCAGAAGUGCGAAUGCUGACAUAAGUAACGAUAAAGCGGGUGAAAAGCCCGCUCGCCGGAAGACCAAGGGUUCCUGUCCAACGUUAAUCGGGGCAGGGUGAGUCGACCCCUAAGGCGAGGCCGAAAGGCGUAGUCGAUGGGAAACGGGUUAAUAUUCCCGUACUUGGUGUUACUGCGAAGGGGGGACGGAGAAGGCUAUGUUGGCCGGGCGACGGUUGUCCCGGUUUAAGCGUGUAGGUGUGUGUUCCAGGUAAAUCCGGUUCACUUUAACACUGAGGCGUGACGACGAGGCACUACGGUGCUGAAGCAACAAAUGCCCUGCUUCCAGGAAAAGCCUCUAAGCAUCAGGUAACAUCAAAUCGUACCCCAAACCGACACAGGUGGUCAGGUAGAGAAUACCAAGGCGCUUGAGAGAACUCGGGUGAAGGAACUAGGCAAAAUGGUGCCGUAACUUCGGGAGAAGGCACGCUGACACGUAGGUGAAGUGAUUUACUCAUGGAGCUGAAGUCAGUCGAAGAUACCAGCUGGCUGCAACUGUUUAUUAAAAACACAGCACUGUGCAAACACGAAAGUGGACGUAUACGGUGUGACGCCUGCCCGGUGCCGGAAGGUUAAUUGAUGGGGUCAGCGCAAGCGAAGCUCCUGAUCGAAGCCCCGGUAAACGGCGGCCGUAACUAUAACGGUCCUAAGGUAGCGAAAUUCCUUGUCGGGUAAGUUCCGACCUGCACGAAUGGCGUAAUGAUGGCCAGGCUGUCUCCACCCGAGACUCAGUGAAAUUGAACUCGCUGUGAAGAUGCAGUGUACCCGCGGCAAGACGGAAAGACCCCGUGAACCUUUACUAUAGCUUGACACUGAACAUUGAGCCUUGAUGUGUAGGAUAGGUGGGAGGCUUUGAAGCGUGGACGCCAGUCUGCAUGGAGCCGACCUUGAAAUACCACCCUUUAAUGUUUGAUGUUCUAACGUGGACCCGUUACCCGGGUUGCGGACAGUGUCUGGUGGGUAGUUUGACUGGGGCGGUCUCCUCCUAAAGAGUAACGGAGGAGCACGAAGGUUGGCUAAUCCUGGUCGGACAUCAGGAGGUUAGUGCAAUGGCAUAAGCCAGCUUGACUGCGAGCGUGACGGCGCGAGCAGGUGCGAAAGCAGGUCAUAGUGAUCCGGUGGUUCUGAAUGGAAGGGCCAUCGCUCAACGGAUAAAAGGUACUCCGGGGAUAACAGGCUGAUACCGCCCAAGAGUUCAUAUCGACGGCGGUGUUUGGCACCUCGAUGUCGGCUCAUCACAUCCUGGGGCUGAAGUAGGUCCCAAGGGUAUGGCUGUUCGCCAUUUAAAGUGGUACGCGAGCUGGGUUUAGAACGUCGUGAGACAGUUCGGUCCCUAUCUGCCGUGGGCGCUGGAGAACUGAGGGGGGCUGCUCCUAGUACGAGAGGACCGGAGUGGACGCAUCACUGGUGUUCGGGUUGUCAUGCCAAUGGCACUGCCCGGUAGCUAAAUGCGGAAGAGAUAAGUGCUGAAAGCAUCUAAGCACGAAACUUGCCCCGAGAUGAGUUCUCCCUGAGACUUUAGGUCUCCUGAAGGAACGUUGAAGACGACGACGUUGAUAGGCCGGGUGUGUAAGCGCAGCGAUGCGUUGAGCUAACCGGUACUAAUGAACCGUGAGGCUUAACC
rnacentral:rRNA from 1 species